rnacentral:rRNA from 1 species
AUUGAACGCUGGCGGCAGGCCUAACACAUGCAAGUCGGGCGGAAACGAUGGAAGCUUGCUUCCAGGCGUCGAGCGGCGGACGGGUGAGUAACGCGUGGGAAUAUGCCCUUUAGUGGGGGAUAACUCGGGGAAACCCGAGCUAAUACCGCAUAAUCUCUAUGGAGUAAAGCAGGGGGGGAAAGCGGGGGAUCUUCGGACCUCGCGCUAUCAGAUGAGCCUGCGUUGGAUUAGCUAGUUGGUGAGGUAAUGGCUCACCAAGGCGACGAUCCAUAGCUGGUCUGAGAGGACGAUCAGCCACACUGGGACUGAGACACGGCCCAGACUCCUACGGGAGGCAGCAGUGGGGAAUAUUGGACAAUGGGCGCAAGCCUGAUCCAGCAAUGCCGCGUGUGUGAAGAAGGCCUGAGGGUUGUAAAGCACUUUCAGUAGGGAAGAAAGGUCUAACGUUAAUAGCGUUGGACUGUGACGUUACCUACAGAAGAAGCACCGGCUAACUCCGUGCCAGCAGUUGCGGUAAUACGGAGGGUGCGAGCGUUAAUCGGAAUUACUGGGCGUAAAGCGCACGUAGGCGGUUUAGUAAGUCGAAUGUGAAAGCCCUGGGCUCAACCUGGGAACUGCAUUCGAUACUGCUUAACUAGAGUAUGACAGAGGAAUGUGGAAUUCCGGGUGUAUCGGUGAAAUGCGUAGAUAUUAGAAGGAACAUCAGUGGCGAAGGCGACUGUCUGGGUUAACAUUGACGCUGAGGUGCGAAAGCGUGGGUAGCGAACAGGAUUAGAUACCCUGGUAGUCCACGCCGUAAACGAUGAGAACUAGAUGUUGGUUUCAUAAAAGAGAUUAGUAUCGUAGCUAACGCGUUAAGUUCUCCGCCUGGGGAGUACGGCCGCAAGAUUAAAACUCAAAGGAAUUGACGGGGGCCCGCACAAGCGGUGGAGCAUGUGGUUUAAUUCGAUGCAACGCGAAGAACCUUACCAUCCCUUGACAUCCAGAGAAUCUGUUAGAAAUAGUAGAGUGCCUUCGGGAACUCUGAGACAGGUGCUGCAUGGCUGUCGUCAGCUCGUGUCGUGAGAUGUUGGGUUAAGUCCCGCAACGAGCGCAACCCUUAUCUUUAGUUGCCAGCACAUAAUGGUGGGGACUCUAAAGAGACUGCCGGUGACAAGCCGGAGGAAGGUGGGGACGACGUCAAGUCAUCAUGGCCCUUACGGGAUGGGCUACACACGUGCUACAAUGGGCAGUACAAAUGGUCGCGAAGCCGCGAGGUGGAGCUAAUCUAAGAAAGCUGUUCGUAGUCCGGAUUGGAGUCUGCAACUCGACUCCAUGAAGUUGGAAUCGCUAGUAAUCGUAGAUCAGAAUGCUACGGUGAAUACGUUCCCGGGCCUUGUACACACCGCCCGUCACACCAUGGGAGUGGGUUGCAAAAGAAGUGGGUAGACUAACCUUCGGGGGGUCGCUCACCACUUUGUGAUUCAUGACUGGGGUGA